UGAGGAAUAUUGGGCAAUGCCCGCAAGGGUGACCCAGCAACGCCGCGUGGAGGAUGAAUGUCGUAAGAUUGUAAACUCCUGUUAGAGGGGAAGAAUAGUACCGGUUGGACCGGUAUAUGACUGUACCCUCAGAGAAAGCCCCGGCUAACUACGUGCCAGCAGCCGCGGUAAUACGUAGGGGGCAAGCGUUGUCCGGAUUUACUGGGUGUAAAGGGCGCGCAGGCGGGAUAAAAAGUCAGUGGUGAAAUCCUACAGCUUAACUGUAGAACUGCCUUGAUACUUUUAUUCUUGAGUUCGGGAGAGAGAGACGGAAUUCCAGGUGUAGUGGUGAAAUACGUAGAUAUCUGGAAGAACACCAGUUGCGAAGGCGGUCUCUUGGUCCGACACUGACGCUGAGGCGCGAAAGCGUGGGGAGCAAACA
rnacentral:rRNA from 1 species